UACGUAGGGUGCGAGCGUUAAUCGGAAUUACUGGGCGUAAAGCGUGCGCAGGCGGUCUGUUAAGACCGAUGUGAAAUCCCCGGGCUUAACCUGGGAACUGCAUUGGUGACUGGCAGGCUUUGAGUGUGGCAGAGGGAGGUAGAAUUCCACGUGUAGCGGUGAAAUGCGUAGAUAUCUGGAGGAACACCGGUGGCGAAGGCGGCAUCCUGGGCCAACACUGACGCUGAGGAGCGAAAGCCAGGGGAGCAAACGGG
rnacentral:rRNA from 1 species